AGAGUUUGAUCCUGGCUCAGAUUGAACGCUGGCGGCAGGCCUAACACAUGCAAGUCGAGCGGUAACACAGGGAGCUUGCUCCUGGGUGACGAGCGGCGGACGGGUGAGUAAUGUCUGGGAAACUGCCUGAUGGAGGGGGAUAACUACUGGAAACGGUAGCUAAUACCGCAUAACGUCGCAAGACCAAAGAGGGGGACCUUCGGGCCUCUUGCCAUCAGAUGUGCCCAGAUGGGAUUAGCUAGUAAGUGGGGUAACGGCUCACCUAGGCGACGAUCCCUAGCUGGUCUGAGAGGAUGACCAGCCACACUGGAACUGAGACACGGUCCAGACUCCUACGGGAGGCAGCAGUGGGGAAUAUUGCACAAUGGGCGCGAGCCUGAUGCAGCCAUGCCGCGUGUAUGAAGAAGGCCUUCGGGUUGUAAAGUACUUUCAGCGGGGAGGAAGGUGCUGAGGUUAAUAACCUCAGCAAUUGACGUUACCCGCAGAAGAAGCACCGGCUAACUCCGUGCCAGCAGCCGCGGUAAUACAGAGGGUGCAAGCGUUAAUCGGAAUUACUGGGCGUAAAGCGCACGCAGGCGGUCUGUCAAGUCGGAUGUGAAAUCCCCGGGCUCAACCUGAGAACUGCAUUCUAAACUGGCAGGCUAGAGUCUUGUACAGGGGGGUAGAAUUCCAGGUGUAGCGGUGAAAUGCGUAGAGAUCUGGAAGAAUACCGGUGGCGCAGGCGGCCUCCUGGACAAAACUGACGCUCANGUGCGAAAGCGUGCGGAGC
rnacentral:rRNA from 1 species